GCGUCGAGUAACCGCGUGAAACUGAAAAUCCUGCCCUCCGAAGGCAGGGGUUGCUGGUUCGAUCCCAGCCGGGCGCGCCA
rnacentral:tRNA from 1 species